UAGACAUUUCUCUAAGAAGACAUACAAAUGGCCAAUAAGCAUAGAAACAAUGCUCAGCUCUGCUAUUCAUUAGGGAAAUUUACAUUGAAACCUCAGUAAGAUACCUCUUCAUACCCAGUAGGAAGGCUGUUACCAAAAGAAAAAAAGAAAAAAAGGGGAGGGAGGGAGAGAGGUCAGCAGAAGUAGAAGAAAAGAAAAAGGAUAUAACAAGUGUUGGCAAAUAAAUAUGUAGAGAAAUUUGAACACUCUUACAUUGCUGGUAGAACUGUGAAAUGGUAUAGUUGCUGUAAAAAACAGUUUGGCAGUUCCUCAAAAAAUUAAAUAUUGAAUUAUCUUUUAAC